AGCAAUACAAGGCAUACGGCUCAGUAACGCGUAGUCAACCUAACCUAUGGACGGGAAUAACCUCGGGAAACUGAGAAUAAUGCCCGAUAGAACACUAUACCUGGAAUGGUUUGUGUUCCAAAUGAUUUAUCGCCAUAGGAUGGGACUGCGGCCUAUCAGUUUGUUGGUGAGGUAAUGGCCCACCAAGACUAUUACAGGUACGGGCUCUGAGAGGAGUAGCCCGGAGAUGGGUACUGAGACACGGACCCAGGGCCUAUGGGGCGCAGCAGGCGAGAAAAGAGUUGCAAUGUGCGAAAGCACGACAAGGUUAAUCCGAGUGAUUUGUGCUAAACGAAUCUUUUGUUAGUCCUAGAAACACUAACGAAUAAGGGGUGGGCAAGUUCUGGUGUCAGCCGCCGCGGUAAAACCAGCACCUCAAGUGGUCAGGAUGAUUAUUGGGCCUAAAGCAUCCGUAGCCGGCUCUGUAAGUUUUCGGUUAAAUCUGUACGCUUAACGUACAGGCUGCCGGGAAUACUGCAAAGCUAGGGGAGUGGGAGAGGUAGACGCGUACUCGGGUAGGAAGUGGUAAAAUGCUUUGAUCUAUCGAUGACCACCUGUGGCGAAGGCGGUCUACCAGAACACGUCCCGACGGUGAGGGAUGAAAGCUGGGGGAGCAAACCGGAUUAGAUACCCGGGUAGUCCCAGCUGUAAACUAUGCAAACUCAGUGAUGCAUUGGGCUUGUGGCCAAUGCAGUGCUGCAGGGAAGCCGUUAAGUUUGCCGCCUGGGAAGUACGUACGCAAGUAUGAAACUUAAAGGAAUUGGCGGGGGAGCACCACAAGGGGUGAAGCCUGCGGUUCAAUUGGAGUCAACGCCAGAAAUCUUACCCGGAGAGACAGCAGAAUGAAGGUCAAGCUGAAGACUUUACCAGACAAGCUGAGAGGUGGUGCAUGGCCGUCGCCAGCUCGUCCCCUGAGAUGUCCUGUUAAGUCAGGUACCCAGCGAGAUCCCUGCCUCUAGUUGCCACCAUUACUCUCAGGAGUAGUGGGGCGAAUUAGCGGGACCGCCGCAGUUAAUGCGGAGGAAGGAAGGGGCCACGGCAGGUCAGUAUGCCCCGAAACUCUGGGGCCACACGCGGGCUGCAAUGGUAGCGACAAUUGGUUUCGAAUCCGAAAGGAUGAGGUAAUCCACAAACGCUACCACAGUUAUGACUGAGGGCUGCAACUCGCCCUCACGAAUAUGGAAUCCC
rnacentral:rRNA from 1 species